GUCUACAGCCAUGCUACCCUGAACAAGCCCGAUCCUAUCCGAUCUCGGAAGCUAAGCAAGGUCAGGCCUGGUUAGUACCUGGAUGGAGGAGACCACCUAGGAAGACCACCUGCUGUAGGUG
rnacentral:rRNA from 1 species